rnacentral:rRNA from 1 species
UGGGGAAUAUUGGACAAUGGGCGCAAGCCUGAUCCAGCCAUGCCGCGUGAGUGAUGAAGGCCCUAGGGUUGUAAAGCUCUUUCACCGGUGAAGAUAAUGACGGUAACCGGAGAAGAAGCCCCGGCUAACUUCGUGCCAGCAGCCGCGGUAAUACGAAGGGGGCUAGCGUUGUUCGGAUUUACUGGGCGUAAAGCGCACGUAGGCGAACUAUUAAGUCAGGGGUGAAAUCCCGGGGCUCAACCCCGGAACUGCCUUUGAUACUGGUAGUCUUGAGUUCGAGAGAGGUGAGUGGAAUUCCGAGUGUAGAGGUGAAAUUCGUAGAUAUUCGGAGGAACACCAGUGGCGAAGGCGGCUCACUGGCUCGAUACUGACGCUGAGGUGCGAAAGCGUGGGGAGCAAACAGG